AUGAAUCUCCUAUGCUGGAAUUGUCGUGGUGCGGGCAAAGCCGCGACAAUUCGGGAACUUCGUGAUCUAGCGAAGCAAUUUGCCCCGACCGUGUUGUGCGUAGUUGAGACACAAAUUUCAAAAGCACGGGUCGAAAGUCUUGGUGACACACUAGGUUUUUCUCAUGCUUAUGCUGUUGGUAGCACCAGCCGUAGCGUUGGUCUUGGCCUUUUUUGGAAUGAUGGAAUAAAUAUCAAUGUUUUUGGUUAUUCGGAGUACCACAUAGAUGCCACAGUUAGCUCCCCUAACAGCGCAGACUGGCGCCUCACCUGCGUUUAUGGGGAAGCCCAAGUCGGAGAGCGAUAUAAAACUUGGGAUAUGCUAAAAUCUUUAGUCUUGGUUAACCCAUUGCCCUGGCUAUGUUUAGGAGAUUUCAAUGAGGUCUUACAUGCCCAUGAACAUGUCGGAUCAGGAAAGAGGCGUGCUUCACAGAUAGCUGGCUUUCGAGAUGCGAUGGAUGUCUGCGCUCUUGAUGACUUGGGCUACCAAGGUCGUCCAUGGACCUUUGAGAAGAAAACAGCAGGCGGCACAUAUUGCCGAGUGCGUCUAGACCGUGCUAUGGUGAACAGUGAUUGA
rnacentral:rRNA from 1 species